rnacentral:lncRNA from 1 species
UAAAUUAAAAAGAAGAACGGCAGAAUCCCACCUUUCUAAUCUCCAAGCACUCAUCUCCCCUUUACCCGAUCUCACUGGUUUUCAACCAAAAAAGAGAAUAACGAAGGAGAGGAAUUUGAGGGAGAGUCUAAAGAGUGGGGAACGAGAUAGAAAAAGCAGAGAAUAGAAGGGAGGAACGAACAGAGAGAGACGGGAGAAACAACAGAACAGGGGAUCGGUGAAGAAGUAUGAAAAGAUGGAAAUCGGCCGCUGCUUUACCCUUCUCCUCUAUACCAUCCUUUCUUCUAGUCUAGCCGUAACCACCACAUGUACACCCUCUAGACUCCAUAGAAAUAGCACCCUUUUAACACUUGAAAUCAGGCCCAAAACCAGCUGUAUUGACCCCAUAAAUCAGCUGUAAAACCAGCCUGUCAUAGCUAAUCAAAAAUAGCUCCCCGCUUUAGCUCCGAAACACCAUUUCUCUUUACCAAUAAGUGCAGCCAUGAAACCAGAUGAAAUGCCAUUUUUAUUCCUCCUUUUCAACACCCAAAAACCAACUCAAGUACAGUCCCAAAAUUAGCAACAACGAGCUGAAAAACAGCCCAAUUACCUAACACAAAUCAACCACAAACGUGCUGAAAUCAGUGCAAAACAGUUGCAAAAAUCUGCCCGAAACAACACCUGAAUACACAAGUUCUGUUCGAGCUCGAGUUCAUCUCCGGUGGUCGAUUUCGGUCGAGAGCCGUCUCUGUAAUUUCAACUCAGUCUAUUUAUACCAAAGGUCACAUUCUCGUCCCUUUCUUCCUUUUUUUCUUUACAAAGUUCUCUUUUCUAAUUGAUAAGAUUCUUGGUAUUGUUGGUUGCAUACUGAUUUGCUUGAUAUGUUGCUUGGCAUACUGAUUUGCUUGAUGUGUUGUUUGGAUGCUAAUAUUAUAGUGGUUACUUCAAUUCUCUAUUGCAACAUUUCUUUAGAUAGUGCUGUUUGGAUUUUAGUUAUUAAGUUUGAGCUUCUAAUCUAAAAGGAUAGAAUUGAACAAGCUUGUCUUUAUUUAUUUUAUUCUAUUUUUAUUGAAAAGGACCUUGCGGUUCUAAUUGAGAAGUUUUAGUUUAGCAACUGGUUAAUGGAUUGCACCGAUGAAUAUGGCAAAUAGACUAUCUGGAUUCUUGGUUAAUAGCUACAAAAAUAUCUUUUAGCCUAUUAAUGACUUGUAAUAUAGAUAACUUUAUCAAGUAUCAUAACUACUACGUAAUACACUUAUCCCAUAGUAAUUCCAUAGACUAUGGCCUUCACAAUAAUCUCAAAAUUAAUUUUAGGAAAAUCAUGAACAUCGUAGCUCGUUUUAGGCGCGAUUAAUAAAUCAUCGUGGCUAUGGGUACGGUUCUCGUGGCAUAGUCAUGGUACAUAAAUCCAAAUUCGGGUGUGUAUUUCAUGUGACCCGACCAUAACUUCAAACAAUAAUAAUAAAAUAAACAUGCUGUGAAUCGCAGAUACGGUUCACAUGGCGCGAUUCGUAAUGUGUACAGAAUAAAUGAGUGCGCGACCUCGCAACUUGUUCCAACAAAUUCCAUAAAUAAUGAAAAGCGGUUUAAAAGGUUAAAAAUGCACAAUAGGUUUGUUUUGUACACAUUACGAAGAAUAUGUGUACAAUAGGUUAUCAGUCGAGCAUCCAGAUGGCUCCCUAUUAGGCUUUAUAUGGUAGACAAUGUCGAUCGCCGGUCGAAUGGUUUGAGCUGGGGGAGGCUCGAUUAUUGGGUACAGAUCUAGUACAGGAUGCCUUGGAUAAGGUUAAGAUCAUUCAGGAUAGACUUCGCGCAGCUCAGUCCAGGUAGAAGAGUUAUGCCGACCGUAAGGUCCGUGAUGUUGCAUCCAUGGUCGGGGAGAGAGUGUUAUUCCGUGCGUCACCCAUGAAGGGUAUAAUGAGAUUUGGAAAGAAGGGCAAGUUGAGCCCUAGGUACAUCAGGCCUUUUGAGAUUCUCCCAAGAGUGGGUGAGGUGGCUUACAAGCUCGUAUUGCCACCCAGUUUAUCGGUAUUCAACGUGUCCAUGCUCCGGAAGUAUUACGUUGAUCCAUCCCGCAUAUUAGAUUUUAGCACUGUCUAGUUGGACUAGGAUUUGACCUACGAUGAGGAGCCAAUAGUUAUUCUAGAGCCUUAGGUUCGUUAGUUGAGAUCGAAUAGUUAUCCUUCAGUUCGAGUACAGUGGAGAGGUCAGCCCAUCGAGGCAGUUACGUAGGAGUCCGAAACGGACAUGCAGAGUAGAUAUCCUCACCUUUUUCCCAGCUCAGGUACUUUUCUACGUCCGUUCGAGGACGAAAGAUUGUUUUAGAGGUGGAGAAUGUGAUGACCCGAUAGGUCAUCUUAUGAUUUAAAACUAAACUCUAUGUUUCGAGGCCUUAAAAAUCUCAUUUUAUCCCUCAAUUUGUGUGCACAGUCCGGAUGUAUUUCCGAAAAGCUUUUGUGUUGAAACUUGAUAAAAAUAAGAAUUUUUGAUUAAAAACUUCAUUUGAGUUGACUUCGAUCAACAUUUUUAGUAAACGAGCCUAGAUUCGUGCUUUGAUAGUCCCGGUGGAUCCGUAUCGAAAUAUGAGACCUGGACGUAUGCCCGGAAUCGGAUUCGGAGGUCCCUAGUCUGAGUUAUGAAUUUUUGUUAAAAAUUGAAAUCUAAAAAAAUAUUGUUUUUUAAGAAAAGUAUUGAUGUUUGAUCUUGUUGGUAUCGGGUCCGUAUUUUGGUCAGAGCCCUAUAUAGGUUCAAUAUAAUAUUUAAGAUGUGUCUGUGAAAUUUUGUGAGAAACGGAGUUAGUUUGACGUGAUUCGGACAUCUGAUUGUGAAAAUAGGAAUUUCAAAGUGUUCUUGAGAAUUUCAUUUGAUUUGGUGCUAAAUUCUUGGGUUCAACUUUUAAGUGUUAUUUUUAUGCGAUUUGAUCGCAGGAGCAAGUUCGUAUGAUGUUUUCAGACUUGUUUACAUGUUUGGUUUGGAGCCCCGAGGGGUCGGGUGAGUUUCGGAUAGACUACAGAGUGAUUUGAACUUGAAAAAAAAUUGCUGGUGUAACUGAGGUUGUUGCAGGCCUCCGAUCUUGCAAUUACGAGAUCAGGCCUCGCAAUUACGACCUCUGAGGGGUUGGCAUUUGCGAGCUUCUCAUCACAAAUGCGACAUACAGUCUUCACAUUUGUGAAAUAAAGCUGGGAGGGGCAGUGAUCGCAAAUGCGACCAUUUUGUCGUAUUUGCGGAGAUUGAAGUUUGCAAUUGCAAACUUAUCUUCGUAAUUGCGAAGCAGCAGAGAUGUGAAGGACCUCGCAUUUGCGAAGCUCAGGUUGCAAAUGCGAUAUCUGCAGCUGAUGAAAAGGGACUUAGACGGGAUUUUUCAUUCAUUCUUCAAAUUUUCAAAACCUAAAAUACAAGAGGCGAUUUUCCAAAGAUCUUUUCUUCCCCAAAACUUUUGUAGGUGAUUCUAACUCAUUUUCUUUCAAUCUUUCAUUACAUUCCACAAAUCUUCAACCUAAAAUCUAAAGUUUUCAUGAUGAAAUUGAGGAUUUUUAGAUAGAAAUUAGGGAUUUGAUAAAUUGGGGACUUAGACCUCAAAUUGAGGUCGGAUUUCAAAACCAAUUACAUGUUCGGGAUCGAGGGUGAAUGGGUAAUCAUGUUUUGGUCUGAAUUUCGAGUUUGGACCAAACGGGCCCGAGUGUUGACUUUUGUUGACUUUUUCAAUAAUGGCAUAAAUUGAAUUCUUAUCGAUCGUAUGUGAUUUCUAAGGCUUAUUUUGAAAUGUUUAGUUGGUAAUUUGCUAGAUAUUGUUGGUUCGGAUGCGUGUUUGAAAGGCAAAAUUGUAAUUGAGCUUUGAGUGGCCUUUGGAGCGAGGUAAGUGUUGUUUCUAACCUUGACUUGACGGAAUUAAGAACCCUCAAGCUUUGUGUUAUGUGAAUUCCAUGUGAGCGGCGCAUAUGUAAGGUGACGAGUGCUUAUACGCCGCCGAAUUAUUUGUUUUCUCUGUUUUAUCACUUUUCC